rnacentral:sRNA from 1 species
UACCUCGUUAGGUGAGGCUCCUGUACGGAGACAUGCUGCUGCCCAGAAACGUCCAAAGACGCCAACGGGUUUGAACAGAGAUCAUCGGGUUAAGGUGAUCUAUAAUGUAGCUAGCAAAUUCCCUUUGGAAUUGCUUAUGCCGUACAGUGCUAAAGCUCAAUGAAAGGAGG